UAAAUUAUAGCCCAGCAUGCACGAGCAUGAUUCCUACAGUUGCAGUAAUCCAGAGGCCUGUCAGUUCCUGACUUUAUGCAUGUUUAUUCCUACUUAUUUUCUAGUGUUGCACUGGAAUUUCCUGUCUUAGAUAGUUUGCAAUUGCAUCUUCAGGACUCUUAUAACAGCUGGUAUUUGGAUGGUCAAGGGAUAAAACCUCUCCUUUGAAACUUGCAGAACUCUUCUGAUUUAGUCAUAGAGUCACCAUGAACAAGAAUACCUGUAGUCUACAUGGGACGAGCAAAAGUGUUUCAGAAGAAGGUCUGCAUCACAGCACUGAGGAUGAAGAGUCUUUCCAGGGAAUGGAGCCCUAUCUUGUGCGGAGAUUAUCCUCCCGUUACAUCCAGCUUCCGCCCCUGGCUUUCAGGCAGUUAGAACAGG